rnacentral:rRNA from 1 species
GGAUGCGAUCAUACCACAGCACUAAAGCACCGGAUCCCAUCAGAACUCCGAAGUUAAGCGUGCUUGGGCGAGAGUAGUACUAGGAUGGGUGACCUCCAGGGAAGUCCUCGUGUUGCAUUCC